GGCAGGCAGCGGAACCACUGAGCUAAAUCCUCAGCUCAGAGUCCCCAGAAGAUGGCUGGACACUAAGAAUGCCCUCAAAUAUCACACUGAGUAUGCUGAAGAGGAGUAUAAACACCAAAACAUAGCAGAACCCAAGGUCACAUCACAGGAAGACAGAACCUAACUAAAGAGAUGUCCACAGUAGGGAUAAAGUCUCUGGCUUAACUGUUCUUCACCUUGCAGCACAAAAACAAUAGAAAUAUGUGAAAGCAAGGCACCAAGAUGCCUACAAAAACCCUUAGCCUCCCACAGGUCAAUCUCAUGUCCACUGAAGUGGAGGAAAUAACAGACAAAUAACUCAAAAUCAAAUGAUCUAAAUGUUUGAAGAGCUCAAAGAAGAAGCACAUAAGCAAUUUCAUAAGAUGUUCAGCAAGCUUAAAGAGAACUUUAUUAAAUAAAGGACUUUUUAUUAAUAAAAUGUUUAAUGAGCCUAGAGAAGAAACAAAUAAUAAACAAAUUGAGUUAAACAAGACAAUACAAUAUUCUUUACUAGUCUGGUAAAGAAUUAGGAAUUAUACAGGCCGGGGAUUUAGCUCAGUCAGUGGUUCUGCCACCUACCUCACAAGCGCAAGGACCUGAGUUCAAUUCCCGGUACCAAAAAAAAAAAAAAAAAAGAAUUAGGAAUUAUAAAAAGAAAGCAAGCAAAAUAUAAGAUAUGAAAAAUAUAACAGAAAGGAUGGCUAACAGAUAUGACCAAUAUGAGGACAGAGUCUCAGAAAUUGAAGACAAAGCGGAUAUACUAGGUCAUAAACUCAGUGAUACCCUAAAAACGACAACAAAACAUGCAAGUUGAAUGCAACAGCUACCAAAUAACUCAAAAAGAAAACAUUAGCAUUAUAAGAAUAAAGGAAAAAAUGAAAAGAUGACUCAAAAGAUAUAGAAAUUUUAUUCACUGAAAUCACAGCAGAAAAUUAUCCAAAUCUAGGGAAAGAAUUAAAUAUUAAACUACAGGAGGCAUAUAGAACACCAAGGAGCCAUGGCCAGAAAAGAACCUCUCCACAGUAUAAUAUAAUCAACAUUCCAGAAAUUCAGGCCAGGGAUUUAGCUCAGUGGUACUGCGUCUGCCUUGCAAGUGCAAGGUCAUGAGUUCAAUCCCUGGUACAAAAAAAAAAAAAAAAAUUCCAGAAAUUUACAAAAGGAGAAAAUAGUGAAAGCUGUUAAGAAAAAGCAGCAAAUAGGCAAGCCUAUUAGAAUUACAACAAACUUUAAAGGCCAGGAAAACUUGGAGCAAAAGUUUUCAAGCCUCAAAAGAAAACAACUGUCAAUUCAGACUUCUAUAGCCUGAAAAAUCACCCUUCAAAAACUGACAGAGAAGUAAAUGCUUUCCAUGACAAAGAAACCCUAAAGAAAUACAUGACCACUAAAUGGGCAUUGCAAAAAGUACUCAAGAGAAUCCUAGACAGAAACAGGGAGGCCACCAGCACCAAAGAGCCCAAAGGAAAUUAUACAUCUAACUGGGAGAGUAAUUAAAAAAAAGGUAAAAAAACAAAGGAAUUAGCACUGGAAAACUAAUGCAAUCACAAGAUUCAAUAAAUACCUUACAAUAAUGUCUCUGUCAAUAGUCUUCAAUCCCCAAUCAAAAGACAGACUGGCAGGUUGGAUCAAAAAACAAAAUGCAGGGGCCCGGGAUUUAGCUCAGUGGUGCCGCUGCCUGCCUCAGAAGUGCAAGGUCCUGAGUUUGAUCCCCAGUACCAAAAAAAAAAAAAAAGCAACCAUAUAUUGUAUUGCCUACACAAAUGACAAUGGAAGCACAAUGUGCCAGGACUAUGGGACACAAUGAAAGCAGUUUUAAGAGGAAAGCUUAUAGCUGUAAAUGCGCACAUAAAAAGAGCAAUUUGAGCAAUCCCAAAUAACCUAAUGAUGCAUCUCAAGGUCCUAGGAAAACAAGAGCAAUCCAGGGCGGGGAUUUAGCUCAGUGGUUCCGCCACAUGCCUCGAAAGUGGAAGGACCCGAGUUCGGUACCAAAAAAAGAGAGCAAUCCAAAUCUGAAAUUAAUACCAGAGAAGAAAUUAUAAAAAUGACAGUGGAAAUCAAUGAAACUGGGACUAAAAAAAAAUAAUACACAAAGGCUGAAUGAAUCAAAGUUAGGUGUUGGGUGUGAGGGCCCACAACUGUAAUCCCAGCACUGAAGAGGCUCACAAGGAUAAAUGUGAGUUCGAAGCCAAUCUGGCUUACAUAGUGAGGCAUUGUCUCAAAAAAAAAAAAAAAAAA